UACGGGAGGUGCGAGCGUUGUCCGGAAUCACUGGGCGUAAAGGGCGCGUAGGCGGCCUGAUAAGUAGGGGGUGAAAUCCUGCGGCUUAACCGCAGGGCUGCCUUCUAAACUGUCGGGCUCGAGCACAGUAGAGGCAGGUGGAAUUCCCGGUGUAGCGGUGGAAUGCGUAGAGAUCGGGAAGAACAUCAGUGGCGAAGGCGGCCUGCUGGGCUGUUGCUGACGCUGAGGCGCGACAGCGUGGGGAGCAAACAGG
rnacentral:rRNA from 1 species